UUGCCAAUGCGAUCAAUAAUCAAAUGAGCUUAUUUUCUGUUUACUUGUACUUGCAGGUCAGUUUGCUGAGAAUGAGACAAAUGAAAUUAAUUUCAGGGAAAUACCGUCACAUGUACUGCAGAAGGUUUGCAUGUAUUUUACCUACAAAGUGAGAUACACUAACAGUUCCACAGAGAUCCCAGAAUUUCCUAUCGCACCCGAGAUCGCUUUAGAGUUACUGAUGGCGGCAAAUUUCCUGGAUUGUUAAAUGACUCACGCUUUAUUUGUAAAUUGGAAAUUAAUAUUUGAGGAUUCUCGUAUAUAAUGAUGAUUCAGUAACAGUAAUCUGCACUUGGGAUAACAGCUGUGCACAUUAUGAUUGAGCAAACAAAUCCAACCUGCUGUUGUAACCAUCUCCAAUAUUUGUUUAUUGUGGUUAUUUCGGAAUGGUAAGGAUGUGUAUUCAAAAGUUGUAAUAUCAAAAGAACUGAGAAUACAAACAGAGACAAAGACAACCCCAGAUCUGAUGCAAGCUUGAAGAAUGAACUGUUUGUUGGUAUUGUUUGCAUGUGAGAUGUAUUUAUCAUCCUCUUUGUCUGCAAGUGACCUAUAGUUUAAUACACAAGAUAACUGAAAAGUAUAAGUACCUUUUUUUUACCCUUUCUUAAUUAUUCUUUGUGAAUGUUGUUACUAUUUAUUAUUAAAUAUUGUGAUAUUUCAUCACAUUAUGUAUACGUGCAUCAGGUGUAAACAAAUAGAAGUACACAUUUCAAUUCCAGCUAGUCGUGUCUGUACCUACUUUUCACAAUAACUAUCAACGAUUUCCUUACAAGAGGGAGAUUCUUCAUUGUUCAAUUUCAGUUCACGAGAUCUGUUUUGGAAUAACACAUGCAAAAAUAAGGGUAAUUGUUUUUUCCCCCAGGAAGUAUUGCACACUGUUUUGAUUUCACUUCAUUGCAUUACUUAUUUAUGUAGAACAAAAAUGUAUAGCAAUAUAACUAAGUAUGUAUAUAUAGCUGAUGCUUUGUGAUAUCCAAGUGAGUAGGCAGGUCUGUGUACGUUUAAAAAGAAAUAUGUAAACCCUCAACAUUCAUUAAAAUUCUAUCCAUUUUAUUGAA